rnacentral:lncRNA from 1 species
AUGUUAAGUAAGGACAGCUUUCUCCUCAUAGUUUUGCAUUUAUCAUGGUUUUUGAGGAGGCUGCAGGGCUUCCCUGGUGGCUCAGAGGUUAAAGUAUCUGCCUGCAUGCAGGAGACCUGGGUUCAGUCCCUGGGUUGGGAAGACCCCCGGGAGAAGGAAAUGGCACCACACUCCAGGAUCCGGCUGGUCCUCUUCACCCUCUUCCUCCUGAUAUACCUGAUGACUGUGCUGGGGAAUGUGGGGAUGAUCCUGAUAAUCCGCCUGGACCCCCAGCUUCACAGCCCCAUGUACUUUUUCCUCAGUCACUUGUCAUUUCUUGACCUCAGUUACUCAAGUGUCAUCACCCCUAAAACCUUAGGCAACUUACUGACUUCCAAGCAGAAUAUUUCGUACCUGAACUGCUUCACUCAGAUGUGUUUCUUUGUCUUCUUGGGGGCCACUGAAUGUUUCCUUCUCUCUUCCAUGGCCUGCGAUCGCUAUGCAGCCAUCUGCAGCCCUCUGCGUUACCAGGUGGUUAUGUCCACCAGGCGCUGCUGCUCUCUCGUCUUUGGAUCCUAUUUGAUUGGCUUUAUGGACACCUCUGUCAAUGUUUUGUGCUUGAGUAGACUGCAUUUCUGCAACUCAAAGAUAAUUUAUCACUUUUUCUGUGAUGGACCAGCAAUUUUAGCCCUGUCCUGCACUGACACACACGGCAUUGAAAUCAUCAUAUUCAUUUCUGCCGGUUCCACCCUACUGGUGUCUCUUAUCACAAUAUCCCUGUCCUAUGUGUCCAUCCUGUCCACUAUCCUGAAAAUCACUUCCACUUCAGAGAAGCAGAAAGCUUUCUCUACCUGUGCCUCCCAUCUCCUGGGAGUAACCAUCUUUUACAGCACUAUGAUUUUCACUUACUUAAAACCAAGUAAGUCCUACUCCUUGGGAAAGGAUCAAGUGGCUUCUGUUUUUUAUACUAUUGUCAUCCCCAUGCUGAAUCCACUUAUAUACAGUCUUAGAAACAAAGAAGUAAAAAAUGCACUCAAUAGGGUCAUGAAGAAAAGAAAGGACUCCAAAUAA